GACGAACGCUGGCGGCGUGCUUAACACAUGCAAGUCGAGCGGAAAGGCCCUUCGGGGUACUCGAGCGGCGAACGGGUGAGUAACACGUGAGUAAUCUGCCCCAGGCUCUGGGAUAGCCACCGGAAACGGUGAUUAAUACCGGAUACGACAACUUCCUGCAUGGGAUGGUUGUGGAAAGUUUUUCGGCCUGGGAUGUGCUCGCGGCCUAUCAGCUUGUUGGUGAGGUAAUGGCUCACCAAGGCCUCGACGGGUAGCCGGCCUGAGAGGGUGACCGGCCACACUGGGACUGAGACACGGCCCAGACUCCUACGGGAGGCAGCAGUGGGGAAUAUUGGACAAUGGGCGGAAGCCUGAUCCAGCAACGCCGCGUGAGGGAUGACGGCCUUCGGGUUGUAAACCUCUUUCAGCACAGACGAAGCGCAAGUGACGGUAUGUGCAGAAGAAGGACCGGCCAACUACGUGCCAGCCGCCGCCGUAAAAC
rnacentral:rRNA from 1 species